UACGUAGGGUGCGAGCGUUGUCCGGAAUUACUGGGCGUAAAGAGCCCGUAGGUGGUUUGUCGCGUUGUCCGUGAAAACUCACAACUCAAUUGUGGGCGUGCGGGCGAUACGGGCAGACUGGAGUACUGCAGGGGAGACUGGAAUUCCUGGUGUAGCGGUGGAAUGCGCAGAUAUCAGGAGGAACACCGGUGGCGAAGGCGGGUCUCUGGGACGGUACUGACGCUGAGACGCGAAAGCGUGGGGAGCGAACAGG
rnacentral:rRNA from 1 species